rnacentral:sRNA from 1 species
GCUGGGCGCGGUGGCGUACGCCUGUGGUCCAAGCUACUCGGGAGGCUGAGGCAGAAGAAUCGCUUGAACCCGGGAGGCAGGGGUUGCAGUGAGCCGAGAUCUCACCGCUGCACCCCAGCCUGGGGAACAGAGCGAGACUCCGCCUCAA